ACUCUUAAUAACAGGGGCUGUAAUUAAUAUGUUUAAUGUUUCACCCACUGUAAAAAAGUGCUUAUUCACAUUUGCAUAUAUUAUGCAGCGAUCACCCCUACCGAACACAAAAGUUAUGUAAAUGAGGAAACAAUUCACAUCGGGUGACUCACCAAACACAACAUUCGUGUAGAACACAUACAGUUGAAAACUCUAGUUACACUGACCCACUGUAAGAAACUCGUUAUCUUCGAAAAGUGUUUGGCUACAGUAAAAAAGUAAUUUAUUACUAGUGUGCGCAAGUCCAAUAUGGCCACAGCAAACUUGUGAAGAAACUUUUAAUUUGAACUUGGCCACCGAUAACAAUGCAGCAAAGUUGUGGCAGCCCGCGCAGGGAGCGGGGAAACGCCAAUCUUCCUCACAUUGCAGUACAUAACCGUACUUCUUUGUAAGAACACCUCGCAAAACUUUGUCGCAAGUAAACUCCGCGAAGUGGCUAAGUCGGGUGCCGGGGCCCGUCGCCGCCGACCGCUCCCGCUGAUCGCUCCGCUCGCUCAGCUCCUCCCCCCGCUCCACUGCGAACAACGAUCCGCCUCCGACAAACAAACGGACAAGUUUUAAUGUUUUGCUCACAAAGUGUAUGAUUAAACGCGGAGAGCGGCGGAGAGAGUCGGCCGUAAGUUAUUGAUUUUCCCCGACCGAACCCCUGUCGGCUACGAGGCUCGCGGUGCAGUUCCGAAGCGCUACGAGGUUAUGCCACUUUUUAACUCUUCAAAAACGCGAUUAAAACUACUUUUGUAAAUAGCCAUGUACUCCAAAUUACUUUUUAUGACCUAUUCGAGUAUUUGCGUGUGCCAAAAGAAGUGUAUACAAGUUUUAUAUGUAACUUACAAUGAGAAAAGUUGGUGUUUGCUGCGCAACUGUACCGCUGGCGGCACGCGUCGCGCACCCUACAACUUCACGUCGCUCUACGUUCCGAAGUUAACGCAAAGUUCCGCCAUUUUGGAACAUGCUCACAACCCACUUGUUUUAUAAAGAAACUUUUUAUUAAUUCCUGUGGGCCGCGGAGUGUCAGUAAGAUGUUUUGAGGUUAUGCUGAAAGACGAAAGACCGUAUUCUGACUCGGAGGUGUAGUUCUAGUGUUAUUGUGACUGUGUGGAGCCUGGAUACGAGUGUUUGUGUUCAUUUGAGAUAUUGUUUUGAAGUGUAACUCGAGUGACGUACCUUGGAUGCUCUUGUAAUUUGUGUUUACUUCUGGCAACGGAGAGGAGGACGCUCGGAGCUGUGUUGUGACCUUGCCUAUGGAUCAGGCACGCGAUCUGUGACAGCAGAAUGUCACGCAAGUCCAGGCAGGGGUACAGCAUCCGGCAUCUCCUGCAGCUGCCCAAUGCUCCCCGCAGCCCGCCGGCCGCACCGCACCCCCCCGCACCAUGCAUCAAGGCGUCUCUGCGACAUCGAAUGCCCUCUCCGUCAGAUCAAG